rnacentral:rRNA from 1 species
UACGUAGGGUGCAGGCGUUAAUCGGAAUUACUGGGCGUAAAGCGUGCGCAGGCGGCUCCUUAAGUCAGAUGUGAAAUCCCCGGGCUUAACCUGGGAACUGCGUUUGAAACUGGCGGGCUUGAGUAUGGCAGAGGGGGGUGGAAUUCCGCGUGUAGCAGUGAAAUGCGUAGAUAUCAGGAGGAACACCGGUGGUGUAAACGGCUUUCUGGACCAUAACUGACGCUGAGGCACGAAAGCGUGGGUAGCAAACAGG